rfam:TPA: Bos taurus chromosome X, whole genome shotgun sequence.
UCCCAGGUAGCUCAAACAGUAAAGAAUCUGCCUGCAAUGCAGGAGACCUGGGUUCGAUCCCUGGGUUGGGAA